rnacentral:rRNA from 1 species
AGUGAACGCUGGCGGUAGGCCUAACACAUGCAAGUCGAACGAGUGGCGGACGGGUGAGGAAUACAUCGGAAUCUACUCUGUCGGGGGGGAUAACGUAGGGAAACUUACGCUAAUACCGCAUACGAUUGAAUGAGCCGAUGUCGGAUUAGCUAGUUGGCGGGGUAAAGGCCCACCAAGGCGACGAUCCGUAGAUGGUCUGAGAGGAUGAUCAGCCACACUGGAACUACGACACGAGCCAUACUCCUACGGGAGGCAGCAGUGGGGAAGAUUAGACAAUGGGCGCAAGCCUGAUCCAGCCAUACCGCGUGGGUGAAGAAGUCCUUCGGGUUGUAAUGCCCUUUUGUUGGGAGAGCGGUACCCAAAGAAUAAGCACCGGCUAACUUCGUGCCAGCAGCCGCGGUAAUUC